UAGCAUGUGAUGAUUUAACUCGGAUUCCCCUUCAAGACAUUAUGGGUGAUGUAAAAUGGAGUUUCUAAUGCU